rnacentral:lncRNA from 1 species
UUCAGUUCCAAAUCGCCCAGAUCAAUACUAGACAUUGUCGCACCAUCGUAUUAAAACUACAAUUAUCUGGGUUCUAGGAAAAUCAGAGCCCCCUAGACUACCCUGUGACAAGAUCACCCUCCUGAGGACAGUUGUCUCAUGGGAAUGAACUACUCCUCAAGGCUAAGAAUUGCUCCAGAGCCGUGCAACAAGGACCAGGACUGAGUGUCUCAGCUGGAAAAAUCUCGGCAUAUUCAGCUCAGCUCUGCGCUAAGAGCCAGGACUGUGGGAAGAACACACGGAGAAGAGCUGGAUGUCUAAGCCUGAGCUCUAGACCAGAUUUAGUAGCCAUGCAGUGCAGCAGAACGAAACCCUAAAACAAACAAUAAACAG